rnacentral:rRNA from 1 species
UACGUAGGGAGCAAGCGUUGUCCGGAAUCAUUGGGCGUAAAGCGCGCGUAGGUGGCUUCGUAAGUCCGUUGUGAAAGUCAAAGGCUCAACCUUUGAAAGCCGAUGGAUACUGUGAGGCUAGAGUACGGAAGAGGCGAGUGGAAUUCCUGGUGGUAGCGGUGAAAUGCGUAGAUAUCAGGAGGAACACCGGUGGCGAAGGCGGCUAUCUGGACAGAGUCUGGACGCUG